AUACGGAGGGUGCAAGCGUUAAUCGGAAUUACUGGGCGUAAAGAGUACGUAGGUGGUUUACUCAGUCAGAUGUGAAAGCCCCGGGCUUAACCUGGGAACUGCAUUUGAUACUGCAUAGCUAGAGUUUGGUAGAGGAGGGCGGAAUUCCCGGUGUAGCGGUGAAAUGCGUAGAGAUCGGGAGGAACACCAGUGGCGAAGGCGGCUCUCUGGACCAAAACUGACGCUGAGGUACGAAAGCGUGGGUAGCAAACAGGAUUAGAAACCCCGGUAGUCC
rnacentral:rRNA from 1 species